AUGGUCUCAGCCUAGAGCGGCUGCUGUUCAGCUUUGGCCCCUGAAGGGAGAACACAUCUGAGGAUGAAGAAUGGUUGAGGCAUUUGUUCCUCUGGUUUUCUCUCUGCUCCAGUGCAGUAGGCACUGGGGCAGAAGUGGUUCCUCCAUUAUUAGCAGCCCAGGGUUCUUUCAACCUGCCUACAUCUGGAAAAUACCUCCUUAUCAAACUCUUCAUCACCAGUGUCAGUUCAUGGUCACAAGAGGCCCAUUUCAGAAUGGGUUCUGUCCCACACUCUGGAGGAAGGAAUGCUGUAUGAGGAGGCCUAGAAGAAUCUGAACAGACAGGCUUUACUGGAGUUCCCCACUCGGCCCGUUAGUAUUAGACCAGAUCUUUUUGUCCAGUCACAUUUCUACGUGGUUGCCUAUCAAAGAAGUCUCUAUAAAAAGUCCAAGAGAACAGGGUUUGGGGAGCUUCCAGGAGGCAGGAAGGU
rnacentral:lncRNA from 10 species